rnacentral:rRNA from 1 species
UAAUACAGAGGGUGCAAGCGUUGUUCGGAAUUAUUGGGCGUAAAGCGCGUGUAGGCGGCUUUGCAAGUCGGGUGUGAAAGCCCUCAGCUCAACUGAGGAAGUGCGCCCGAAACUGCAGAGCUUGAGUGCCGGAGAGGGUGGCGGAAUUCCCCAAGUAGAGGUGAAAUUCGUAGAUAUGGGGAGGAACACCGGUGGCGAAGGCGGCCACCUGGACGGUAACUGACGCUGAGACGCGAAAGCGUGGGGAGCAAACAGGAUUAGAUACCCUGGUAGUCCACGCCGUAAACGAUGAGAACUAGGUGUCGUGGGAGUUGACCCCCGCGGUGCCGUAGCUAACGCAUUAAGUUCUCCGCCUGGGAAGUACGGUCGCAAGACUA